rnacentral:rRNA from 1 species
UUUUGUGGAGGGUUCGAUUCUGGCUCAGGAUGAACGCUGGCGGCGUGCUUAACACAUGCAAGUCGAACGGGAUCCAUCAGGCUUUGCUUGGUGGUGAGAGUGGCGAACGGGUGAGUAAUGCGUGACCGACCUGCCCCAUACACCGGAAUAGCUCCUGGAAACGGGUGGUAAUGCCGGAUGCUCCGACUCCUCGCAUGGGGUGUCGGGAAAGAUUUCAUCGGUAUGGGAUGGGGUCGCGUCCUAUCAGGUAGUCGGCGGGGUAACGGCCCACCGAGCCUACGACGGGUAGCCGGCCUGAGAGGCGACCGGCCACAUUGGGACUGAGAUACGGCCCAGACUCCUACGGGAGGCAGCAGUGGGGAAUAUUGCACAAUGGGCGCAAGCCUGAUGCAGCGACGCCGCGUGCGGGAUGACGGCCUUCGGGUUGUAAACCGCUUUUGAUCGGGAGCAAGCCUUCGGGUGAGUGUACCUUUCGAAUAAGCACCGGCUAACUACGUGCCAGCAGCCGCGGUAAUACGUAGGGUGCAAGCGUUAUCCGGAAUUAUUGGGCGUAAAGGGCUCGUAGGCGGUUCGUCGCGUCCGGUGUGAAAGUCCAUCGCUUAACGGUGGAUCUGCGCCGGGUACGGGCGGGCUGGAGUGCGGUAGGGGAGACUGGAAUUCCCGGUGUAACGGUGGAAUGUGUAGAUAUCGGGAAGAACACCAAUGGCGAAGGCAGGUCUCUGGGCCGUUACUGACGCUGAGGAGCGAAAGCGUGGGGAGCGAACAGGAUUAGAUACCCUGGUAGUCCACGCCGUAAACGGUGGAUGCUGGAUGUGGGGCCCGUUCCACGGGUUCCGUGUCGGAGCUAACGCGUUAAGCAUCCCGCCUGGGGAGUACGGCCGCAAGGCUAAAACUCAAAGAAAUUGACGGGGGCCCGCACAAGCGGCGGAGCAUGCGGAUUAAUUCGAUGCAACGCGAAGAACCUUACCUGGGCUUGACAUGUUCCCGACAGCCGUAGAGAUAUGGCCUCCCUUCGGGGCGGGUUCACAGGUGGUGCAUGGUCGUCGUCAGCUCGUGUCGUGAGAUGUUGGGUUAAGUCCCGCAACGAGCGCAACCCUCGCCCUGUGUUGCCAGCACGUCAUGGUGGGAACUCACGGGGGACCGCCGGGGUCAACUCGGAGGAAGGUGGGGAUGACGUCAGAUCAUCAUGCCCCUUACGUCCAGGGCUUCACGCAUGCUACAAUGGCCGGUACAACGGGAUGCGACACGGCGACGUGGAGCGGAUCCCUGAAAACCGGUCUCAGUUCGGAUUGGAGUCUGCAACCCGACUCCAUGAAGGCGGAGUCGCUAGUAAUCGCGGAUCAGCAACGCCGCGGUGAAUGCGUUCCCGGGCCUUGUACACACCGCCCGUCAAGUCAUGAAAGUGGGUAGCACCCGAAGCCGGUGGCCUAACCCUUUGUGGAUGGAGCCGUCUAAGGUGAGACUCGUGAUUGGGACUAAGUCGUAACAAGGUAGCCGUACCGGAAGGUGCGGCUGGAUCACCUCCUUUCUACGGAG